GUCGAACGGCAGCACGGGGGCACCCUGGUGGCGAGUGGCGAACGGGUGAGUAAUACAUCGGAACGUGUCCUGUAGUGGGGGAUAGCCCGGCGAAAGCCGGAUUAAUACCGCAUACGCUCUGCGGAGGAAAGCGGGGGCUCCUUCGGGACCUCGCGCUACAGGGGCGGCCGAUGGCAGAUUAGCUAGUUGGUGGGGUAAAGGCCUACCAAGGCGACGAUCUGUAGCUGGUCUGAGAGGACGACCAGCCACACUGGGACUGAGACACGGCCCAGACUCCUACGGGAGGCAGCAGUGGGGAAUUUUGGACAAUGGGCGCAAGCCUGAUCCAGCAAUGCCGCGUGUGUGAAGAAGGCCUUCGGGUUGUAAAGCACUUUUGUCCGGAAAGAAAACCUCAGCCCUAAUACGGCGGGGGGAUGACGGUACCGGAAGAAUAAGCACCGGCUAACUACGUGCCAGCAGCCGCGGUAAUACGUAGGGUGCAAGCGUUAAUCGGAAUUACUGGGCGUAAAGCGUGCGCAGGCGGUCCGCUAAGACAGAUGUGAAAUCCCCGGGCUUAACCUGGGAACUGCAUUUGUGACUGGCGGGCUAGAGUAUGGCAGAGGGGGGUAGAAUUCCACGUGUAGCAGUGAAAUGCGUAGAGAUGUGGAGGAAUACCGAUGGCGAAGGCAGCCCCCUGGGCCAAUACUGACGCUCAUGCACGAA
rnacentral:rRNA from 1 species